rnacentral:tRNA from 1 species
AGGGCACUAGCUCAACUGGCAGAGCACCGGUCUCCAAAACCGGGGGUUGGGGGUUCGAGUCCCUCGUGCCCUG